AAACGAUGGUCACGAGGAGGACGUGUGAAAAACCCAGUUGCACGGCCAUCAAUGGUGGCCAGCCAUUGUCGGCGUUUUUUCACGUCCCUUUCCAUUCAUUAUGACUAUUGAAAUCAUUCCAUAAGGCCCUGAAUUACCCUUCAGCUGUACCGAAACUGACUCUCCAUUACCCAAUCCCUGCUUUCCAGCCUUUCUUCGUAGCUUUCAAUGGCCGAUCUCAAGCCCCAGAUCGAAAUCUCGUUCGCUGAGAUGUUCCUCUGCAGCGCUUUCGCGGCUUGUUUCGCCGAGUUCUGUACUCUUCCUUUGGAUACUGCUAAAGUCAGGCUUCAGCUUCAAAAGAAAGCAGCGGGGGUAGAUGGAGUGGGUGUACCCAAAUAUACAGGCUUGUUGGGUACUAUGACUACUAUUGCUAGGGAAGAGGGCUUAUCAGCACUCUGGAAAGGUCUUAUUCCAGGAUUACAGCGCCAGUGUCUUUAUGGAGGCUUAAGGAUUGGCUUAUAUGGUCCUGUCAAAACAUAUCUAGUUGGCAGUGAAUUUAUUGGAGAUAUUCCUGUAUACCACAAAAUACUUGCUGCUCUUUUAACGGGUGCUAUAGCAAUUGCAGUGGCUAAUCCAACUGAUCUUGUCAAAGUUCGACUUCAAGCUGAAGGGAAAUUACCAGCCGGGGUUCCUAGGCGUUACUCUGGAGCUUUGGAUGCAUAUUUCACCAUAGUGAGACAGGAAGGAUUAGGGGCCCUGUGGACUGGCCUUGGCCCCAAUGUAGCACGAAAUGCUAUAAUAAAUGCCGCUGAACUAGCUAGUUAUGACCAAUUUAAACAGAUGAUUUUGAGAAUUCCAGGGUUCAUGGACAAUGUUUUAACUCAUGUGCUGGCUGGUCUAGGUGCAGGUUUCUUUGCUGUCUGUAUCGGUUCUCCCGUUGAUGUUGCUUUAAAGCGGCUGUGCUAGUGAAAGAUUAUGGUCAAAAUUUGUUUCUUAUCGUAUGAAGAAAUUUUUUUUAUAGUUUUAAGGACAAGUUAGUCAGUCAAUGUUGGCUUGGAUGCCAUGCUUAUUAUGUUCCAGGUGAAAUCCAGAAUGAUGGGAGAUUCAACAUACAAAAGCACGUUUGACUGCUUCAUCAAAACUUUGAAGAGUGAGGGAUUUUUUGCCUUCUAUAAAGGGUUCUUCCUUAACUUUGGUCGGCUGGGAGCUUGGAACGUGAUUAUGUUCCUAACUCUUGAGCAAGCCAAGAUAUUUUUUGGAGGGGCAGCAUAAAUCUAUGGCUUUCCUGGUUGAGAUUUAGCAAGCGAAAAGGCACAGCUAUUGCUCGGAAAUUGGAAUUAUUUUUUUACCUGAGAGAUGAUAUUUGUCUGUCUCUCUGCAUUUUUUGCUUCCCACUCAGUUAUAUACGAAGUCUUUUUGUAACAGUGAACAGAUUGGCAAGCUAUAUUUGCGUGAAAGGGUAUUCAUCAUCAUUAGAUUCGUUACUACAACAGACCCUUUUGUUGUUAGUACAAAAGCUGCUUUCCUCACCAUGUCCCCAUCAAACAACAUAUUAGUAUAUGAUUACGUUUUGAACUGAUUGAAAUCAACCAUUUUCCUCUCCAAUAGAUUCUUAUCCA